CUGAGCUGCCAGACCUGGAGAGAAAUGUCAGCAGCUGUGGCUCCUUGGUCGGUGAAGCUCACAUGUUUCAUGCACCUGUAGCUAAGAAUUUGUCUCUGCAGAAUUGUCCUGAACUUCAGUGUGGGUGUAUAGGUGCUUUUGAAGAUUUAGGAGCGGUGUCUGGUUGUCUUCUAGCCCAGCCUAGCCACCUGUUGAACUAAGCCCAGACCUGUGCUGUGGAGAGUCCCUUGACAUCUACUGGCUGCAGUACCUCUGCAGCUCACCCACACGGCAGCAGAAGCCUGGGCCAACUUACCUUCAUGGACUGUUCCAGGAGGAAGCAUUUCCAUGAUGAAAUUAUGGUUGAAAUUCUGGGCAGGGCCAAGAAGCAGGCCCAGUACCAAAGACAGAGGGACUUAAGGGUAGAAAAAGGCAUUCUACAAGGCCAGACGCAAGACUCAAGCUGGCUGCAGAACUUGAGAGCAGGAUUUCAGUGUGGGAGCAGGUACUUGCUUUCCAGUUCCUGGAACGGGUAUGGCAGCUAACGGAGGAGGACAGAGCUCAACGGAAAGACCUGUUUGAGUGGCUGAUAUCCCUAAUUGCUGCAAGAGUACCAGCUCCUUCGGCAUCCCAUGGUUUGAGUCCCCUUGAUGGUACCCUGUGCUGCAGUCCAGAAAAGGCUUGUAAAACUCAUGGCUGGGUGGACCAUGCAAUCGUGCCCCAUGAGCAACUGGGCAGAGCAAUCUUGUCUCAUGCAGUCCUCCGUAAUGACCCCCCUUCCCCUGUAUAUGCCUCCACCUUCUCCCCUGGUGCCACGUGGCAAUCUGGAAAGGGAGAAUGGGGGGACUGGGAACAUGCAAUGGUAGGGGCGUUCUGUCUCUUACAUGGUUUCACUGUUUGCACUUGUUCAUGCACUGUUUUUAUUGUUAGGUUCUACUGUUACUUGUGUUUUGGUGUGGUACUGGCAGCUGGCCUGCCUUGCAGUGGAUCAAUGUUGUAAUUUUUGAAUACAUGUUUAUAAAUCUGUUUUAUUUUACUGGAAAGUUUAUUGUAAUUACUGUAUCACAUCAUACAAUGUGCAUUUAAAUAAAGGUUAAAUAUGAUCA